ACUGAGACACGGCCCAGACUCCUACGGGAGGCAGCAGUGGGAAUAUGCACAAGUGGGCGAAAGCCUGAUGCAGCGACGCCGCGUGAGGGAUGACGGCUUCGGGUUGUAAACCUCUUUCAGCAGGGAAGAAGCGAAAGUGACGGUACCUGCAGAAGAAGCACCGGCUAACUACGUGCCAGCAGCCGCGGUAAUACGUAGGGUGCGAGCGUUGUCCGGAAUUAUUGGGCGUAAAGAGCUUGUAGGCGGUUUGUCGCGUCUGCAGUGAAAAUCCGAGGCUCAACCUCGGACUUGCUGUGGGUACGGGCAGACUAGAGUAUGGUAGGGGAGACCGGAAUUCCUGGUGUAGCGGUGGAAUGCGCAGAUAUCAGGAGGAACACCGAUGGCGAAGGCAGGUCUCUGGGCCAUAACUGACGCUGAGAAGCGAAAGCAUGGGGGAGC
rnacentral:rRNA from 1 species